AUUUUGCUGGAGUUUCCUCUGUACCUGAGGCCUUCUGAAGUAUGCUGACUACGAGUGUGUGCAUGUGGCAGCUGUUCCUUUCUGAAGAACAUUCCUGUUGAAAGGAUGCUGAUAGCCUCUGUUGUCCUACUUGAUUGCCGCAAGUGUUACAGCAUCCUUUAGGACCUCAAUUACGUUUGCUAUUCUUAGAAGCUCCUCCCAUGGAAAGUACGCUUGGAAAAAAAAGAUAGGAAAGGAACCCCAUAUCAAAAGGUUUCAUGCCUUCUGUUUAUCCCAUCUCAACACAAUUCAUGUUGAAAACAACAACAACAAAACAAAGGUUUGGGGAAAAAGUAAAACCACAAUGUGUAUACAUGUUUACUUGGAUGCUAUUUUACGUACUGUCUUUCUACGUCAGCAGAAUGUGGUGCAUUUCCUUCUGGCUAUCAGUUUGGGGAGUUUCACUAUGAGCAAAUGACUGUCCUCAUUAUAAACUGUAUUGGAGAAUGUCCAAUAUAAUCUUUUUGACCAGCUUUAAUCCUAGAGAGCUUUGAUGAAGAUCCUAAUUAGUUUUUUGAUUCAUCUGUGUUUAGGAAAGAGAUUUAUUAUAGUAGCACCCACUUGUGCCACUGAUAAUUAGAAGUCUGUCAGCAUUUUCAUUAUAUAGCUCUAGUCCUGAAGGAGAGAAUCCCUCCCCAUCUGACACUUGGGAUUAUUUGUGAAUGACUUGGACAGAAUUUGCCACUUAAGCUAAAAUUGACUGGAAGCAGCACUGCUAUUAACUGCUCCAGCCAUCGCUGCUGUGGGGUGUGCACGGCCUGCUGUUCUUCUAGGAAAGUGGAAUGAGGGGAAAAAUUAGGAGCAGAGUCCUCAAAUGUGUUUUUUUAUUUUCUGGGGAAGCUUAUCUGUGCUGCAGGUAAAUGAUUAAAACUUCACCAAAAAAAAAAAAAAAAAAAGCAGAUUUGCAAUUUUGGAAUUUCAUAUUUGUGUAACAACUUCACAAACCAUACUGGUAAUCUGUCCGUGCUUUGAGAUGAAUGUCUAAAUGUCAGUGGCUGUGUCUGAGCUCCCUAUUUUUGGCAUAAGAUCUGCUUCAAGAAAUUUGUUUUUCCAGAGUACGCAUAUGCCCUUUGCUUAGACUAAGAUGAAAGUGCAGUUACUUUGUGUUCAAGUUAACACUGGAACUGGCUACUAGCAUAUGUGAAAACAAUCAAAUGACACAAGGAUUCUUGUCGUGCAUUUACCAUGUUGUAUUCUUAAAGAAAACAUAUACAGGAUAUCCAAAAUUCUCAGCAAUUUUGUUUUUUCAAGAAUCUGCACUAUUGAACUGGCCUAUCAGAAUGCAACUGUUUUCUUGUGGUGAGACACCCUGUUGAGUAUUUUGUCUUUCUCAAACCCAUGGUGAUUCCGUGGAUGCUUAUGGCUGCUCCUGUGACCACUCUAGAAACAUCUGCUCACUGUUGCAGGGUGGGUUCUAAUGCUGCAUUCGAAACUUAGGUAUGUUUUAUAGAAGCAGAUAUAGCAUGCUGGGAAACGAUACGAAUAUUACCACAUAACAAUAUUCAGCUUCUUUUCUUUUAAAGACUCUUGAAGUACAGUUUUAUUUUUACUUGGCUAUCGUUGCUUUUAAGAUUUGUGAAGGAGGGAUGGCAGGGAAAGAAAUGGGGUUGUAUUAGAUCUCUACAUUUGUGAAAGAUCGUAUGUAUGGUUUACAUUCUGUUAAAUUGAAUUCCUAACAUUCAUCCUAACAUAAUUUUUGUUUUCCUAUUUAGUCUCUUUUACAUGUUUAAAUAGGCUUCUUCUCCCACUUGGUUUGUUUUAACAUGUUCCCUGUCGAUAAAUCUGCCAUCGUAAACUGCAGUUCCUUGUCAGCUUCUGCCAUCUUGUACAUUUUUUAGUAAAUAAGCAGCUUGUAAUUGACAUCUUUAAAGGAAACCAAACAGCAGUGUUUCAUAAUUCAGGAAAAAAACUGAAGUGUUGUCACUUUCACGUCACAUUGAUCCAGUCCUGGAGGUAUUGGCCUCAGGAGGACAAAGCAAGAUCUAUUAUUGGGAAUUAUAUAGUAAGCAAGCGUAGCACACUUUCAUGUCAGAAGGGAGAAGAGGAGACGCCUUUGCCUUCAGAUGUGUAAACCAAAGCUCUGAAGUGUGUAACUUAGUUGUCUUUGAUCUAAAAGCAGUUCUUUUGCAAAAGUAGAUCUGCUCCUUGGUAAAUCUCUGAAUUUUCAGCAUAAGAUAAAAAAUCAUGGAG
ensembl:lncRNA